AGCUUGCUCCACNUCUGGUUUAGCGGCGGACGGGUGAGUAACACGUGGGCAACCUGCCCUGCAGAUCGGGAUAACUCCGGGAAACCGGUGCUAAUACCGAAUAGUUUGCGGCCUCUCCUGAGGCUGCACGGAAAGACGGUUUCGGCUGUCACUGCAGGAUGGGCCCGCGGCGCAUUAGCUAGUUGGUGGGGUAAUGGCCUACCAAGGCGACGAUGCGUAGCCGACCUGAGAGGGUGAUCGGCCACACUGGGACUGAGACACGGCCCAGACUCCUACGGGAGGCAGCAGUAGGGAAUCUUCCGCAAUGGACGAAAGUCUGACGGAGCAACGCCGCGUGAGUGACGAAGGUUUUCGGAUCGUAAAACUCUGUUGUGAGGGAAGAACAAGUACCAACUAACUACUGGUACCUUGACGGUACCUCACCAGAAAGCCACGGCUAACUACGUGCCAGCAGCCGCGGUAAUACGUAGGUGGCAAGCGUUGUCCGGAAUUAUUGGGCGUAAAGCGCGCGCAGGCGGUCCUUUAAGUCUGAUGUGAAAGCCCACGGGCUCAACCCGUGGGAGCGGUCAUUGGAACACCUUGGCGGACUUUGAGUCGCACGAAGAGGGACAACCGUGGAACUUCCCAUGUGUAGCGGU
rnacentral:rRNA from 1 species